UACGUAGGGUGCAGGCGUUAAUCGGAAUUACUGGGCGUAAAGGGCGCGCAGGCGGUCUUGUAAGUCAGGCGUGAAAGCCCCGGGCUUAACCUGGGAAUUGCGCUUGAUACUCUGAGACUGGAGUACGGGAGAGGAGAGUGGAAUUCCCAGUGUAGAGGUGAAAUUCGUAGAUAUUGGGAAGAACACCAGUGGCGAAGGCGGCUCUCUGGACCGUAACUGACGCUGAGGCGCGAAAGCGUGGGGAGCAAACAGG
rnacentral:rRNA from 1 species